AUGAACGCUGGCGGCGUGCCUAAUACCUGCCAGUCGAGCGAACAGACGAGGAGCUUGCUCCUCUGACGUUAGCGGCGGACGGGUGAGUAACACGUGGAUAACCUACCUAUAAGACUGGGAUAACUUCGGGAAACCGGAGCUAAUACCGGAUAAUAUAUUGAACCGCAUGGUUCAAUAGUGAAAGACGGUUUUGCUGUCACUUAUAGAUGGAUCCGCGCCGCAUUAGCUAGUUGGUAAGGUAACGGCUUACCAAGGCAACGAUGCGUAGCCGACCUGAGAGGGUGAUCGGCCACACUGGAACUGAGACACGGUCCAGACUCCUACGGGAGGCAGCAGUAGGGAAUCUUCCGCAAAGGGCGAAAGCUUGACGGAGCAACGCCGCGUGAGUGAUGAAGGUCUUCGGAUCGUAAAACUCUGUUAUUAGGGAACAACAAAUGUGUAAGUAACUACGCACGUCUUGACGGUACCUAAUCAGAAAGCCACGGCUAACUACGUG
rnacentral:rRNA from 1 species